GUGGGGAAUAUUGGACAAUGGGCGCAAGCCUGAUCCAGCAAUGCCGCGUGGGUGAAGAAGGUCUUCGGAUCGUAAAGCCCUUUCGACAGGGACGAUGAUGACGGUACCUGUAGAAGAAGCCCCGGCUAACUUCGUGCCAGCAGCCGCGGUAAUACGAAGGGGGCUAGCGUUACUCGGAAUUACUGGGCGUAAAGGGCGCGUAGGCGGCUCUGUUAGUCAGGCGUGAAAUUCCUGGGCUUAACCUGGGGACUGCGCUUGAUACUGCAGGGCUUGAGGCCGAGAGAGGGUGGUGGAAUUCCCAGUGUAGAGGUGAAAUUCGUAGAUAUUGGGAAGAACACCGGUGGCGAAGGCGACCACCUGGCUCGGUUCUGACGCUGAGGCGCGAAAGCUAGGGGAGCGAACGGGAUUAGAAACCCGUGUAGUCC
rnacentral:rRNA from 1 species